rnacentral:lncRNA from 1 species
AUGAUUGCAUUCAGUCUCUUUCCACAACAAUAUCUGAUCAAGACUAAUUGGACCAUAUUGACAAAUUUGCUAGCCAAUUGUCAUGCAACUGGGGAAGAGUACAAGAAGGGACCGUCAUUACAAUCUUCACCACUCCUCAGAAAAAGAAGCUUUAUACAAAAGAACUCUUUAAGAGAUUAAAAGAACAACUCUCAACUUUUAGUCUACUUCCUCACUAGGUGAGUCGCCAUCCCCCUGCAACAAUCCUGGAGCUUUUCCUCCUAACCUGUGAGCAGCCAUGUUGGAUAAUAAUAUUAGGGUAACGAUUUUCAUGAUGUUUUCCCCUUAAACAUCACAGAACAUGAAAUGUCAAAAAAAAUGCUCAUGGCACACAGCAAUGGAAUUUUAAGAACCAUUUUGUAUACAUUUGCUUUUAAGAUUCAAGAUGAUGUCACAAAAUAUUAAUGAUGGGACACCAACAUGAGAAUUAGAAUAAGCAAUGGAAUAAAAUUAUCAGUGCUAAUCAAAGGACACAAGAGUUCUUAUUAUCCCAACUGGCAGACAAUCCAAGAAUCACAUGUCCAAAGACUAUUUUUAAUGUCGUUAUUUUGAGCAUGUCUAUUAUUCUGGAAAGAAUUCAAACUAAAUAUUGAAAUUUUACAACGAAGCUUUGAAGAUUGAUUUUCUCCAUUGUGUCCUCUAACUGCCCUUUCGCCCCUUUCCAACUCACCUGGAGAACACCUCUCACACCACCAUUGUGAUCAGGCCCCAAGAAUUUCUGCUGACUUGCUGACUCACAGCUCCUUUGCAUAUGUACAAUAAUGCUGCUUCAGAACUAUCUCUUUUUUCACUAUGCUAAACUUGAAAAAACAUAGCCUGACUAUUUCAAUCAAACACAUCAUUAGGAAGCUAGAUUAUGAAAGAGAUUUUUUAAUAGAUAAUGAAAAAUGUGGGUGACGAAUAAAACGCCACCCACAUCCAAAUACACGUAAGAUUUACAAAAAGUUGUCCUCUGAUGGAAGAGUAAGAUGAAUAGAAACCUCAGUCACUGAAGUAUUCCACAUACUCUGGAUUCUAGGAGGAGUGUAGUUCAAUGCAAAUCUUUCUACAACCACUUCAAAGAGCCUCUAAAUUCUUU